AAACCAACUGGGAUUACCUUAGUAACGGCGAGUGAAGCGGUAAAAGCUCAAAUUUGAAAUCUGGUACGUUCAGUGCCCGAGUUGUAAUUUGUAGAAUUUGUCUUUGAUUAGGUCCCUGUCUAUGUUCCUUGGAACAGGACGUCAUAGAGGGUGAGAAUCCCGUUUGGCGAGGAUACCUUUUCUCUGUAAGACUUUUUCGAAGAGUCGAGUUGUUUGGGAAUGCAGCUCAAAGUGGGUGGUAAAUUCCAUCUAAAGCUAAAUAUUGGCGAGAGACCGAUAGCGAACAAGUACAGUGAUGGAAAGAUGAAAAGAACUUUGAAAAGAGAGUGAAAAAGUACGUGAAAUUGUUGAAAGGGAAGGGCAUUUGAUCAGACAUGGUGUUUUUGCAUGCACUCGCCUCUCGUGGGCUUGGGCCUCUCAAAAAUUUCACUGGGCCAACAUCAAUUUUGGCGGCAGGAAAAUCUUUGGAAUGUAGCUACCUCGGUAGUGUUAUAGCCUUUUGAAAUACUGUCAGCUGGGA
rnacentral:rRNA from 1 species